rnacentral:rRNA from 1 species
AGAGUUUGAUCCUGGCUCAGGACGAACGCUGGCGGCGUGCCUAAUACAUGCAAGUCGAGCGGACGAUUCAAAAGCUUGCUUUUGAAUCGUUAGCGGCGGACGGGUGAGUAACACGUGGGCAACCUGCCCUGUAGACGGGGAUAACACCGAGAAAUCGGUGCUAAUACCGGAUAACACGAAAUGUCGCAUGACGUUUCGUUGAAAGACGGCGCAAGCUGUCGCUACAGGAUGGGCCCGCGGCGCAUUAGCUAGUUGGUGAGGUAACGGCUCACCAAGGCGACGAUGCGUAGCCGACCUGAGAGGGUGAUCGGCCACACUGGGACUGAGACACGGCCCAGACUCCUACGGGAGGCAGCAGUAGGGAAUCUUCCGCAAUGGACGAAAGUCUGACGGAGCAACGCCGCGUGAGCGAAGAAGGCCUUCGGGUCGUAAAGCUCUGUUGUUAGGGAAGAACAAGUAACGCAGUAACUGGCGUUACCGUGACGGUACCUAACGAGAAAGCCACGGCUAACUACGUGCCAGCAGCCGCGGUAAUACGUAGGUGGCAAGCGUUGUCCGGAAUUAUUGGGCGUAAAGCGCGCGCAGGCGGUUCCCUAAGUCUGAUGUGAAAGCCCACGGCUCAACCGUGGAGGGUCAUUGGAAACUGGGGGACUUGAGUGCAGAAGAGGAGAGUGGAAUUCCACGUGUAGCGGUGAAAUGCGUAGAGAUGUGGAGGAACACCAGUGGCGAAGGCGGCUCUCUGGUCUGUAACUGACGCUGAGGCGCGAAAGCGUGGGGAGCAAACAGGAUUAGAUACCCUG